rnacentral:rRNA from 1 species
CGAAAGCCUGACGGAGCAAUACCGCGUGAGGGAGGAAGGCUCUUGGGUUGUAAACCUCUUUUCUCAGGGAAGAAAAAAAUGACGGUACCUGAGGAAUAAGCAUCGGCUAACUCCGUGCCAGCAGCCGCGGUAAGACGGAGGAUGCAAGCGUUAUCCGGAAUUAUUGGGCGUAAAGCGUCCGCAGGUGGCUUGUCAAGUCUUAUGUCAAAGACUGGAGCUUAACUCCAGCAAGGCAAGGGAAACUGAAAAGCUAGAGUCAGGGAGGGGUAGAGGGAAUUCCCAGUGUAGCGGUGAAAUGCGUAGAGAUUGGGAAGAACACCAGUGGCGAAGGCGCUCUACUGGACCUGGACUGACACUGAGGGACGAAAGCUAGGGGAGCA